CCUACGGGAGGCAGCAGUGAGGAAUAUUGGUCAAUGGGAGUAAUCCUGAACCAGCCAUGCCGCGUGCAGGACGACGGCUCUACGAGUCGUAAACUGCUUUUGUACGGGGAUAAAAUGCGUGACGUGUAGCGUUUUGUAUGUACGGUAUGAAUAAGGAUCGGCUAACUCCGUGCCAGCAGCCGCGGUAAUACGGAGGAUCCGAGCGUUAUCCGGAUUUAUUGGGUUUAAAGGGUGCGUAGGCGGACUUUUAAGUAAGCGGUGAAAUACGGUGGCUCAACCAUGGAAGUGCCGUUGAAACUGGGAGGCUUGAUGAUGUGUGAGGCAGGAGGAAUGAGGGGGGGAGCGGUGAAAUGCUUAGAUAUAACGCAGAACCCCGAGUGAGAAGGCAGCCUGCCAAGCCAUGACUGACGCUGAUGCACGAAAGCGUGGGGAUCAAACAGGAUUAGAUACCCCGGUAGUC
rnacentral:rRNA from 1 species